rnacentral:rRNA from 1 species
UACGUAGGGGGCGAGCGUUGUCCGGAUUUAUUGGGCGUAAAGCGCGGGCAGGCGGCCUGCUCAGUCGGCCGUGAAAGCGCCGGGCUCAACCCGGCGAGGUCGGGCGAUACUGGCAGGCUCGAGGCUGGUAGAGGGCGGUGGAAUUCCGGGUGUAGUGGUGGAAUGCGUAGAGCUCCGGAGGAACACCAGUGGCGAAGGCGGCCGCCUGGGCCAGUCCUGACGCUGAGCCGCGAAAGCGUGGGGAGCGAUCCGG